rnacentral:lncRNA from 1 species
GCGCCGCCCCCGUCCCAUGGUGUCCUCUGUUUCCCGUGAAAGCCGCGACGACCUGCACACUCAAAAGCAAGUGCCAAUUCCUGACCACCACGGCUUUAAGAAUAUCCUUGACCCAGGAGGGAGCCUCAUUGCUUUGAGACUUGCCCGAACUCUGCAAAGUAUACCGUUCAUUAUGUGGAGGCCUAUAUUAACACGGGCUCUGGCUGAUGGAUGGUGACAUCCUGGGGAACUUCUGC